rnacentral:rRNA from 1 species
CGAAUGCUGACAUAAGUAACGAUAAUGCGGGUGAAAAACCCGCACGCCGGAAGACCAAGGGUUCCUGUCCAACGUUAAUCGGGGCAGGGUGAGUCGACCCCUAAGGCGAGGCCGAAAGGCGUAGUCGAUGGGAAACAGGUUAAUAUUCCUGUACUUGGUGUUACUGCGAAGGGGGGACGGAGAAGGCUAUGUUAGCCGGGCGACGGUUGUCCCGGUUUAAGCAUGUAGGCGGAGGUUCCAGGUAAAUCCGGUACCUUUUUAACGCUGAGGUGUGAUGACGAGGCACUACGGUGCUGAAGUAACAAAUGCCCUGCUUCCAGGAAAAGCCUCUAAGCAUCAGGUAACACGAAAUCGUACCCCAAACCGACACAGGUGGUCAGGUAGAGAAUACCAAGGCGCUUGAGAGAACUCGGGUGAAGGAACUAGGCAAAAUGGUGCCGUAACUUCGGGAGAAGGCACGCUGAUAUGUAGGUGAAGCGGUUUACCCGUGGAGCUGAAAUCAGUCGAAGAUACCAGCUGGCUGCAACUGUUUAUUAAAAACACAGCACUGUGCAAACACGAAAGUGGACGUAUACGGUGUGACGCCUGCCCGGUGCCGGAAGGUUAAUUGAUGGGGUUAUCCGUAAGGAGAAGCUCUUGAUCGAAGCCCCGGUAAACGGCGGCCGUAACUAUAACGGUCCUAAGGUAGCGAAAUUCCUUGUCGGGUAAGUUCCGACCUGCACGAAUGGCGUAAUGAUGGCCAGGCUGUCUCCACCCGAGACUCAGUGAAAUUGAACUCGCUGUGAAGAUGCAGUGUACCCGCGGCAAGACGGAAAGACCCCGUGAACCUUUACUAUAGCUUGACACUGAACACUGGUCCUUGAUGUGUAGGAUAGGUGGGAGGCUUUGAAGUGUGGACGCCAGUCUGCAUGGAGCCAUCCUUGAAAUACCACCCUUUAAUGGCUGGUGUUCUAACGUGGACCCGUUACCCGGGUUGCGGACAGUGUCUGGUGGGUAGUUUGACUGGGGCGGUCUCCUCCUAAAGAGUAACGGAGGAGCACGAAGGUUAGCUAAUCCUGGUCGGACAUCAGGAGGUUAGUGCAAAGGCAUAAGCUAGCUUGACUGCGAGAGUGACGGCUCGAGCAGGUGCGAAAGCAGGUCUUAGUGAUCCGGUGGUUCUGAAUGGAAGGGCCAUCGCUCAACGGAUAAAAGGUACUCCGGGGAUAACAGGCUGAUACCGCCCAAGAGUUCAUAUCGACGGCGGUGUUUGGCACCUCGAUGUCGGCUCAUCACAUCCUGGGGCUGAAGUAGGUCCCAAGGGUAUGGCUGUUCGCCAUUUAAAGUGGUACGCGAGCUGGGUUUAGAACGUCGUGAGACAGUUCGGUCCCUAUCUGCCGUGGGCGCUGGAGAAUUGAGGGGGGCUGCUCCUAGUACGAGAGGACCGGAGUGGACGCAUCACUGGUGUUCGGGUUGUCAUGCCAAUGGCAUUGCCCGGUAGCUAAAUGCGGAAGAGAUAAGUGCUGAAAGCAUCUAAGCACGAAA